rnacentral:rRNA from 1 species
UACGUAGGGAGCAAGCGUUGUUCGGAUUUAUUGGGCGUAAAGGGCUCGUAGGCGGUUUGUCGCGUCGGGAGUGAAAACACUGGGCUUAACUCAGUGCUUGCUUCCGAUACGGGCAGACUAGAGGUAUUCAGGGGAGAACGGAAUUCCUGGUGUAGCGGUGAAAUGCGCAGAUAUCAGGAGGAACACCGGUGGCGAAGGCGGUUCUCUGGGAAUGUCCUGACGCUGAGGAGCGAAAGUGUGGGGAGCGAACAGG